rnacentral:rRNA from 1 species
CAGAGGGGGCUAGCGUUGUUCGGAAUUACUGGGCGUAAAGGGCGCGUAGGUGGCCUGUUAAGUCGAACGUGAAAUCCCCGGGCUCAACCCGGGAACUGCGUCCGAGACUGGCAGGCUCGAAUCCGGGAGAGGGAUGUGGAAUUCCAGGUGUAGCGGUGAAAUGCGUAGAUAUCUGGAGGAACACCGGUGGCGAAGGCGGCAUCCUGGACCGGUAUUGACGCUGAGGCGCGAAAGCCAGGGGAGCAAACGGG